UUAUUGGGCGUAAGGGCUCGCAGGCGGUUUCUUAAGUCUGAUGUGAAAGCCCCCGGCUCAACCGGGGAGGGUCAUUGGAAACUGGGAAACUUGAGUGCAGAAGAGGAGAGUGGAAUUCCACGUGUAGCGGUGAAAUGCGUAGAGAUGUGGAGGAACACCAGUGGCGAAGGCGACUCUCUGGUCUGUAACUGACGCUGAGGAGCGAAAGCGUGGGGAGCGAACAGGAUUAGAUACCCUGGUAGUCCACGCCGUAAACGAUGAGUGCUAAGUGUUAGGGGGUUUCCGCCCCUUAGUGCUGCAGCUAACGCAUUAAGCACUCCGCCUGGGGAGUACGGUCGCAAGACUGAAACUCAAAGGAAUUGACGGGGGCCCGCACAAGCGGUGGAGCAUGUGGUUUAAUUCGAAGCAACGCGAAGAACCUUACCAGGUCUUGACGGCCUCUGACAACCCUAGAGAUAGGGCUUUCCCUUCGGGGACAGAGUGACAGGUGGUGCAUGGUUGUCGUCAGCUCGUGUCGUGAGAUGUUGGGUUAAGUCCCGCAACGAGCGCAACCCUUGAUCUUAGUUGC
rnacentral:rRNA from 1 species